rnacentral:rRNA from 1 species
GGAGGGGGUUAGCGUUGUUCGGAAUUACUGGGCGUAAAGCGCGCGUAGGCGGAUUAGUCAGUUAGAGGUGAAAUCCCGGGGCUCAAACCCCGGAACUGCCUUUAAUACUGCUAGUCUUGAGUUCGAGAGAGGUGAGUGGAAUUCCGAGUGUAGAGGUGAAAUUCGUAGAUAUUCGGAGGAACACCAGUGGCGAAGGCGGCUCACUGGCUCGAUACUGACGCUGAGGUGCGAAAGUGUGGGGAGCAAACAGGAUUAGAUACCCUGGUAGUCCACACCGUAAACGAUGAAUGCCAGUCGUCGGGUAGUAUACUAUUCGGUGACACACCUAACGGAUUAAGCAUUCCGCCUGGGGAGUACGGUCGCAAGAUUAAAACUCAAAGGAAUUGACGGGGGCCCGCACAAGCGGUGGAGCAUGUGGUUUAAUUCGAUGCAACGCGAAGAACCUUACCUACUCUUGACAUCCUAGGAAUCCAGAAGAGAUUUUGGAGUGCCGCAAGGAACCUAGAGACAGGUGUUGCAUGGCU